rnacentral:rRNA from 1 species
GACGAACCGAGCGAACGUUGUUCGGAAUCACUGGGCUUAAAGGGCGCGUAGGCGGGUGCUCAAGUCCGGGGUGAAAUCCUCCAGCUCAACUGGAGAACUGCCUCGGAUACUGGGUGCCUCGAGUGUGGUAGGGGUGUGCGGAACUAUCGGUGGAGCGGUGAAAUGCGUUGAUAUCGAUAGGAACUCCGGUGGCGAAGGCGGCACACUGGACCACAACUGACGCUGAGGCGCGAAAGCUAGGGGAGCAAACGGG